ACAAAUUCAAGCUCAGCUUGGUGAUGGGUGUCUGUCCCGCCUUUGCGCGUGGACUCGCCUCAAAUGCAGUUGGCAGCUUGUUCCUCGGCUCUAAACGCAGCAGAUUUGCGUCGAGCGUCGGGCGGACGGGCUCUCCAGUAAGCAAACCCCACA
rnacentral:misc_RNA from 1 species